GACGAACGCUGGCGGCGUGCCUAACACAUGCAAGUCGUGCGGUAACAGGCGUAGCAAUACGUGCUGACGAGCGGCGAACGGGUGCGUAAUACAUGGGAAUCUGCCCUUUAGUGGGGAAUAACCCGGCGAAAGCCGGGCUAAUGCCGCAUAAGAUCUUCGGAUGAAAGCGGGGGAUCGUAAGACCUCGCGCUGAUGGAUGAGCCCAUGUCGGAUUAGCUAGUUGGGAGGUAACGGCUCACCAAGGCGACGAUCCGUAGCUGGUCUGAGAGGACGGCCAGCCACACUGGGACUGAGACACGGCCCAGACUCCUACGGGAGGCAGCAGUGGGAAUAUUGGACAAUGGGCGAAAGCCUGAUCCAGCGACGCCGCGUGUGUGAAGAAGGCC
rnacentral:rRNA from 1 species